UACGUAGGCAGCAAGCGUUGUUCGGAAUUACUGGGCGUAAAGAGUGUGUAGGCGGCGUUCUAAGUCUGUUGUGAAAUCUCCCGGCUUAACUGGGAGGGUGCGGCGGAAACUGGAAUGCUAGAGGAUGGGAGAGGUAAGCGGAAUUCCUGGUGUAGCGGUGAAAUGCGCAGAUAUCAGGAGGAACACCGGUGGCGAAGGCGGUUCUCUGGGCAUGUCCUGACGCUGAGGAGCGAAAGUGUGGGGAGCGAACAGG
rnacentral:rRNA from 1 species